CACACUGACCUAAAUUAAUCUCUGCCAAGUCUACAUAUACAGAGAAUUUAGAGAGAUUCAACAUAUGUUCUAUGUUAAACAAAAUGCCCAGGAAAUUUAAGCACGGGUUGAAUAAAGAACGUGAAAAAAGCUAUUAAAAAGAGAAGGGGAGCGACAAGUACUUCAGAAAGCUUUAAUAUUAAAGCAUAAACACAUACAAUAUCUCCCAAAGUAUAUUAGACCAUGCAAUGGCAACACUAAUUCACACAUAAUGCAUGAAUGUUAUUGCAUUAGAUAACAAAAAAUCAAACCAAAUGGUAUAUAUGUUAAAGAAAGAUUGCACAAGCACCCUUUUCAAGAAACAUUUCACAACAUAUAUAGUGUUCAAACAUUAGUGUAACAUAUUUGUAGUUAGUGUGAUGAACUUCUUUAAGAACUUGAGGGAAACUGACUUGAUACUUCCACAAAAAACGACCAUUGGGUUAAAAGUGACAAAAAAUGGUUCAGAAAAGUGAGUUCUCUAGCACUCACUCUAGCUACUAAAUUCUAGCAUUAUUUGUUUGCUGAUUGCACUUGGUUUGAGAUUUUGUUAUUUAUGCAAUGAAUUUCAUUCAAUUGUUAGAGUUGGUUAAGCAUCCACUGUAUGCAAACACACAAAAGAGAGAGAAAUAAAGACAGAGGGACAGAGAGAAAGAGAGAUACAUUGGUGAUGCUCUUGGACCCUGAACAAGUUUUGUUUUCACAAUUGCAGACAGCAGGACAUCAGUGACAUGGAGAGAACUGAUCUCCAGCAGUUCAUCAUGCACUAAUUUACUGGCUGCCAUUCAGUUCCCCCCUUAACAGUCUCAAACUGCAGAUAUGGACGAGGACAAAGACAUAGUACAUUUUUGAUGAUUACAACAGCCAUUUGCAAACAAAGGACUGCAAAGGAGAAUUGUAUUGGGUGAAAGACAGAGACAGAAAAGAAGAUAAGGAAAGACAGAAAAGGUGGGCAUAUGAGCUUGUUUGUCUCUGUUUGUUCCAUCAGAAGAAAAUGUGACAUUUGAAGGAUGAGAGAACUUUUCCAGACUGUAAAUUGGCACUGAAGGAGACUUGGAAGCAGGUUAGCUUUAUUACUGUACUUCAUAGGGUUAAUAGACAAGAAUAGAGUUAGAAUGAGAGAUAGAGAUUCGUAAGAAAAUAAUGGGAGAGAGGAAGUUUAGAACACUGUCAGAAAAAUAAAAAUGUCUACAUGACAGUCUGUAUUUAUUUAUACCUUAUGUGUUCCUAAAGGGUGCAUAUUAGUACCUUAAGAUGUAAAGAUGUGCUGCAACAGUGACAAGCUGUUGUACCUCUAAUGGUAACAUUUUUUUUUUUUUUUCUGACAGUGAAAUGAGAAACGUCAAGGAAGCAGAGAGGAUAUUUAGUCAGCAAAGGUAGUGAAAAAAAUAGAAAAAGUACAAAUAAGGUUGGAUGUAGGCUAAAAAGAUACAGUCCCAGUAAAACAAGGAAAGUAUUAUUUGUCUCUCUCACACACGAUCUACCUCUUUCCAGUUUAUUAAUCAAUAGGGUUGCUGUUAUUCCGCAGCUGUGCAGACAAGUUCUUCAAAAGGCAAGAGGGGGUUUUCAGGUGGCACAACACACCGAAAAAUUCCCAGCAUUCCUUCUGGCUAGCGAAAGAUGACACAUCAUUCUGCUGUAACAUGUCAGCUGAUUGCUGUGCCACGGCACUGGUUUUAGGCGAGUGGCAGUGCUCUGGCAACAGACGUAGUCUUUUUUUUUCUCCCAGACGCACUGCGGCACAGCCAGACGACUAGAGUGGAAGCACAGGAGCUCACAGCUGCAGUUUACUGGCUUGUUUUGGGGAGGCAGAGGAGCCGAGCCGAGCCCUUCCUCUCGGAAUACCGUUGCUCCUUUCCUCUCCGCCUUUGAGGAAUAGAUUUCAUUGGGUGAAGCAGCCGAGGAGUCAAGAGCCAAGAAGGAAGACGAACUAAAACUCUGAGUCAAAAAACCUGGAAUUAUGCUUUGUCUCUGUCUAGCAGGAAGUAAAAUGAGAAGAAACAAGAUUUGAUCAUGAUUUUUUCGAGUGCAGUCGCCGUGUAUGUGCAUGCAUUAUUGCGUUGGUUCCAGACUGAGAAAUUGAACAAGAUGGGUUGGAUUCCAGUGCGUUACCUGUCCAUCCCAUCACAAACUCAUUCCCCCCACCAAAGGUCCCAGUGCAGACAUCCAGUCAGACAGGCCGAUCUGCAUUAGCUGGCUUUGAUUUCACUUCUGGUCAGAGACUAGGUCCGCAGUGCUGGGACAAGGUGGGCGCUCCACGCCAGGGUUAAGGCAGCUUUCAGAGGCUGAGUCCAUGUCCAUCGGGCAGGGCAAAGUCGAAGGGAAACGGCAAUGCAGCAGCUGAGCUGAGCUCAGCCAGACAGACGCAGUGACCUAAAUCAGCCCCAGUCAUGUCUGGACGCAGCAAGAGUGAGGCAGACAGAGAGAGGAAGACAGAGCGAGAGCGUCGGAGAGAGGGGGAGAGCGAAACACACAUACCGUCUCGAACAUAUACUCACACUACAGGAUGGAGAGAAGCAAAGGAGUCUGUAAGGGGAGGGGAAGACUGAGUUACCUCUCUCUCUCUCUCUCUCUCUCUCUCCUGUUUUUUCCCUCCACUGCUUUAUUUUGUUCUAUUAGCUGGAGUUCACAUUGACUGCAUGUCUACAUUGAUCUCCAGAGCGAAAUGCUAUCUUGUUCCCCCCUCCCUUUACCUUCCCAGAUUGCACCUUUCCAUACAGGAAAGAAGAGCCCAGGAAGAAGUUCAGGAAGUUCAGGAAGAAGAAUACUGUUCAGGAACCAUAAAAUCAGUCUUAGAAAUGUUAUUGUUUAAAAGUUUACAGUUUAUGGUUCAUAUUUAAUAUGUGUUUUUAUACAUUUCCACUUUUAACAGAACAUUUUAAUUGCUUCCAGUGCUUGGAUUUUACUGUUUUGUUUGUAACAAUUACUUGAAAAUAUAUUUUCUACAAAGUGAUGUUUUUGUGUGUAUUUUCACAUUGAAUCAACGUUACUAGGAUACAUGUGACUGUCAGCGAGUCUCAGAGAGCAAAUGUAAAACAAUAGAGGACUUGCACACAUCUUUAUGAUAAACAACUCCUUCCCUUUGUUUUUUUCUUUUUCUUUCUUUUAUAUUUGUCUCUAGAAUUACAGCCAAAUUAACUAAAACUCCUCAAACAAUAAAUCAAUCAUUUUAAAACUCUCUAAAUAUGCAUGAAAGAUUAACAAAAGAAUUUCAGGCCAGGCAAUUUAUAUUGUCAUGGUAACUUGAACAAAGAGGAAGGAUUUGUAUGUUCAGGAAAGUAGUGUUGUUGUUGUUUUUUACAAAAUGAAAAAUGUUUACAAAAUGGAAAAUACUAAAUAAAAUCUAUUUAUUAG